rnacentral:rRNA from 1 species
AUACGGAGGGUGCAAGCGUUGUCCGGAUUUAUUGGGUUUAAAGGGUGCGUAGGCGGAUAAUUAAGUCAGUGGUGAAAGACUGCAGCUCGACUGUAGAGGUGCCAUUGAUACUGAUUAUCUUGAGUACAGUUGAGGUAGGCGGAAUUUAUGGUGUAGCGGUGAAAUGCAUAGAUACCAUAAAGAACACCGAUAGCGAAGGCAGCUUACUGGACUGUAACUGACGCUGAGGCACGAAAGCGUGGGGAGCGAACGGGAGUAGAAACCCUAGUAGUCC